UGGUGGGUGAGGUCUCGCGGGACUGGCCCGGGAGUGCGCUCCCGACCGGCCACGCCCCCUUCGAGGCGGGGCCUGGUGAUCCUGCCCAAAUGCUCUCCUGAGCCUUCUGUGUAGACGUUUCAAAGGCCACGUGUCCAGGGUGCAGGUGCGGAGGUCCCCACGCAUUAUGGAGAAGAUUCUCAUGGUGUUUCUGAUGCCGUCUGUCAGACUGCAUGCACUGCCUCCGUAACUGGAGCGGGUCUCAUCCCUGCCAGGAACAGUGGCCUGGCACACAGGAGACCCAUACGCUCCUGUAGGUGAAGGGCUUGUCCAGGAUUCAAAACUUAGGUCUUCUCAAGGCCGCCUCCAAGAUCCUCUGUGUAGUGGUCUGUCUUCACACAACAUCCCGAGAGCUCACAUGAGUGACAAGGACUCAGGCGGUUCCUGGAACGAGUCCGGCUCAGGGUCACUGGUCCAUGUCUGCUCCUGCACUUUCUGUAAGGAGUUCUCACUGCUGUUCAAAAUUCCCAGAGAAAGAGGUGACGAAAGGAAGAAGAGAAAUUGAAGGGAUCCAAUUUCUACGUUGAUUUACCUUCUCAAGUGUAAAGCCAGGAAGGGUGACCUACCCUGCCAGGCAGAUUUGGAAGGCUGGGUCCUUGUCCUCAGAGUGCUCCCUCUCCUACCCCACUUGCAUCAGGCCUUGGUUCUAAGUAGGCCCAGGGGAAGGAAACGAACUGGAGUUGAGACCUUGCAAUGUAGUUCCUGGAAAACCUCUGCCCAGGGGCUCUCCUGGUCCCCUCCCCUGCCCCUCCUGGGACCCAUUGCUUCACCUGGGUGCCCCCUGCCAACACCCUACAGACACCCAGCCCCGCUCCUCUGAUAUACUCACCCGGGUGUGUGUGUGUGAGUGUCUUACUGUUUCUGUGCUCAGUAACUGUUGAUCAAACAAAUGUGAGCACUCCUGGCCCCAUAAAGGGUUCUGACCUCAGCAGCUCCUUUGAUCUUGUGGGCCUCCUGUGAUGGUUAAUUUUACAUCAACCUUUGGGCCAUGGGGUGACCAGAUAUUAUUCUGUUUCUGUGAGGGUGUUUUUGCAUGAAAUUAACAUGUAAAUCAGUAGACUUCAACAUUAGACCAAAAUAACAUUUUAACCAAUAAAGCAGAUUGCCCUCCAUAUGUGGGUGGGCAUCACUCAAGCAGUUGAAGGCCUGAAUAGAACAGAAGACCGACCCUCUGCAGAGUAAGACAGAAUUCUCCAUCAGUCUGCCUUCAGACAUCACCUGCAACAUCAGCUCUCCCUGCCUGAUGGCCUUUGAAUCGAAAUAUUGGCUCUCUCCAGGUCUCCAGCCUGCCUGCUAGCCUCCAUAAUUGUGUGA